UUGCCAGGGGAAGCAGAGAAAAGUCCAAAUACCUGGCUUCUGACAGCGGGGGGCCUGACUUCAAGAGAACACCGUUCCCAACAUAUCUGCUGUGAACAUCAGCCAGGUCCAACAUGGUGGAGUUACAGCCGCUGGAGAUGUGCACUCACGUUAAAGAGCUAAGGGAGCAAGUGUUUGUCCCAGAGAACCAAACACCCCGAGAAGAUCGCACGAGGACCACAGACACUAGGAACGGUUCUUGGACAACCUCUGCGACUUCUGGUCUCUGGACUAUACCUACUAACCAGUCAUCACUAGUUGGAAGUGCAAGGAAAUUCGCAAAAAAUAAGCAGAAGAAACCAAAUAAAACAUUUCUCAAAGAUACAAAGGGAAGUGAAAGAGCCACGAUGUGGCCUGUGGCGGCCUUCAGAGAGCGCCCAGUUCACUGCCAUCGGGGGGCUGACUGAGAUGGUCUAGACGAGACGUCUGGUUCCUGACGUGUGGUAAGUAGUCGCUGAAUGUGAGCCGCUACCAUUAAACUAUUAAAAUGAAAACCCAGCGAAAGUGCAGAGUUCGGAAGCAAACAGGAUGCAGACAUG